rnacentral:rRNA from 1 species
AACGAACGCUGGCGGCAUGCCUAACACAUGCAAGUCGAACGAGACCUUCGGGUCUAGUGGCGCACGGGUGCGUAACGCGUGGGAACCUGCCCUUAGGUUCGGAAUAACUCCCCGAAAGGGGUGCUAAUACCGGAUAAUGUCUUCGGACCAAAGAUUUAUCGCCUUUGGAUGGGUCCGCGUUGGAUUCGCUAGUUGGUAGGGUAAAAGCCUACCAAGGCGACGAUCCAUAGCUGGUCUGAGAGGAUGAGCAGCCACACUGGGACUGAGACACGGCCCAGACUCCUACGGGAGGCAGCAGUGGGGAAUAGUGGACAAUGGGCGAAAGCCUGAUCCAGCAAUGCCGCGUGAGUGAUGAAGGCCUUAGGGUUGUAAAGCUCUUUUACCCGGGAUGAUAAUGACAGUACCGGGAGAAUAAGCGCCGGCUAACUCCGUG